rnacentral:lncRNA from 1 species
CCCGUCUGCUGGCUUGGCUUGGCACGGCGCAGUCUGCUGGCUUGGCUUGGCACGGCGCAGUCUGCUGGCUUGGCUUGGCACGGCGCAGUCUGCUGGCUUGGUGGAAUGUUGGACAAUGUAAUAUACGAUGACAUCCUGAUCAUCAAUCUGCAGUGUUCUCUCUCGCUCGUCUUUCACUUCUCUCUCUCUCGUCUCCUUUGCUCUCUUCACGACAACAGGAGCAAAUCGUUGAAUGACAUCAGGCGGUUCCCGUCGCCUACGCAAGUGGUGCGCCAGGUUUCUGAGGGUGGCAUGGAGCUGAGCCCCAGCGCCGUGAGCCAAGACCAGCUGCAGAUGGCCAGAGCCCGGGUCCACGAGAGUGAGGCCAAGUGGCACAAUGUGAGUCCACACACACAUGCAUCCAUCAACUGUCCCAUCCUGACUGGUAGAACUAGUCACCUGUCCCAUCCUGACUGGUAGAACUAGUCACCUGUCCCAUCCUGACUGGUAGAACUACUCACGCUGACCUCUUAAUAAGUGUUUAAAAACCACACUCCCUGGAGGUCUUCACUGGGUUAAUGGUUGCCGCUACAAAUGAAUUCAACAGCAGUUCUUGUCUCUGUCGUGAUUCAUCUUGUUUUAAGUGUUUCCCCCCACCUCCUGUCAGGACCUGACCAAGUGGAAGCUCCGGCGGCACAGGUCUAACUGUGACCUGCGGAGGAAGAUGCAGGAGAGGGACAACAUCGUCCUGAUGGCCAACGCAGGGGUCAGUACAGUCGGGACGUUCAAUAGUCUGCAAGAGGACAGGGAAGAGGAUGAGUCCCUGUGCAGCAAUGGCCACAAGGUCUCUCCGUCCACCGCGUUCAAGGAGGGGUCCCUGGAGCUCCGACCCCACACCAGAGCCCCCACCUCGGUAAGUGAGGGUUCCCUGGUGCUCCGACCCCACACCAGAGCCCCCACCUCGGUAAGUGAGGGUUCCCUGGAGCUCCGACCCCACACCAGAGCUCCGCUGGCCCUCAGCUCCUCUGUGGAGUCACCCUACAGCCCCGUAGCGUCGGAACCCUUCACCGCCCCCAGCGUGACCCUCCAGGGACCCGGAGCCGUGCCCCAAUCAGAGCCCCUCGUCCUAGGGGGGAGGAGUCACACACUGGUGGAGCCAGACGGAGCUGGAGGAUUGGUCACUUUCCCCAACUCUGCCUCUCCCAUCUCCUCCCAGACCAUCUCUAGCCCAGCUCUCUUCAUCGCCACUGGACGAGACCACAACGUCUCCUUGCUCUCAAAUGGGAUCCCGACGACCCUCCCUGGAUCUAGCUCCAGUCUUACUACUGGUACCAGUUCUUCUCUAACUACCUCUGACCCGGUGAACGGUACCAGCUCUAACCUAACCAUCGAUACCGGCCCCUGUGCCUCCAUGGACAUCCCAGACCACGUCCUCCUCUCUACUGUAGAGUCCCUGACCUCGGUGGGAGCCUCGGGUCAUGUCUCAGCUCCCCAGCAGCAGGAGCUUCCCCUCUACAGGUACAGCUCCAGGGCUCCGGGAGGAAGAGGAAGAGGGGCAUCUGCCUCUCUCCCCAGGGGAUACCGCCGGUCUGAGGGCUCWUCGUCCUGCCUCUCUGCCGGCUUCACCCCCCGACCGUUUGGAGCCAAGUCCUCCAGAGUGUCCUCGCUACCCAGGCUCUACAAUUUGGAGAAGACUGCUUCCACACGCCCCCAGAAAAUGGUCACUAUCUCAGAGGUCGCUGUCAGGGCUCUGCCCUGGGCCACAGCCAAUCGGAGCAGUGUGAACCAGGAAGUAGAGGGUGGGAUUCAGACCCAGCCCUCCAUCCUGAAGACCAGAGGGGUUCCUGGACCUGCCACCCACCCCAAACCCUUACCCCCUUCUCUCCUGCCCAGCAUCCCUGUCUCAGUCAGACAGAAUGGCUCUGCACAGGUACGUCACAGUGACAGAGUGAGUCUUACCUUGAAGAUUAACAGUCGACCACACUUUGGUUUCAACACUCACUGGGACUCGACAGGAGCAAGAGUCGGAGGCAUCCAACCAGGUGAGUUGACUCCACCACUCCCCUCCUUCAGGGAUGGAUGGGGACACCUAUGUCCUGUCUACCGUGUUAGCAUUGGUUGUAAUCCAAKAAGMGCUUAGUAGGUAAGAUGUCAACAGAAAUGUAGCAACAACAGUAAGUAAUGGAUGAAUAGAAGUUUGAACAAACAGCUGAAUAUUUAUCUUUUUUUGGGGGGAGAUAUGUUUUAGUCUAAAGGUGUCUUGGUGCUAGAAACGGUUGAAUUGACCGUGGCUGGGUCGUUAGUAAUGACAUAAUGGUGGUUCCUUCGAUGUCCAUUACCUACAGUACAGGGAGAUACUCAUGAAUGUUUAAACAGACCUGUGAGAGGUGUGACUUACCCUGCAACAGAGACCUAGUCAGAACCACUCUGGAUAUCUGUAAUCAGGAUCUAUAACCUUAUACUGUUCCUCUGGGUCCGUCAGGUGUGACUGGAAAUACCAUCUACUGCUGUCCUGUAGCUCC